rnacentral:rRNA from 2 species
AUGCAAGUCGAACGGCAGCAUGAUCUAGCUUGCUAGAUUGAUGGCGAGUGGCGAACGGGUGAGUAAUACAUCGGAACGUGCCCUGUAGUGGGGGAUAACUAGUCGAAAGAUUAGCUAAUACCGCAUACGACCUGAGGGUGAAAGUGGGGGACCGCAAGGCCUCAUGCUAUAGGAGCGGCCGAUGUCUGAUUAGCUAGUUGGUGAGGUAAAGGCUCACCAAGGCGACGAUCAGUAGCUGGUCUGAGAGGACGAUCAGCCACACUGGGACUGAGACACGGCCCAGACUCCUACGGGAGGCAGCAGUGGGGAAUUCUGGACAAUGGGCGAAAGCCUGAUCCAGCAAUGCCGCGUGCGUGAAGAAGGCCUUCGGGUUGUAAAGCACUUUUGUCCGGAAAGAAAUGGCUCUGGUUAAUACCUGGGGUCGAUGACGGUACCGGAAGAAUAAGGACCGGCUAACUACGUGCCAGCAGCCGCGGUAAUACGUAGGGUCCAAGCGUUAAUCGGAAUUACUGGGCGUAAAGCGUGCGCAGGCGGUUGUGCAAGACCGAUGUGAAAUCCCCGAGCUUAACUUGGGAAUUGCAUUGGUGACUGCACGGCUAGAGUGUGUCAGAGGGGGGUAGAAUUCCACGUGUAGCAGUGAAAUGCGUAGAGAUGUGGAGGAAUACCGAUGGCGAAGGCAGCCCCCUGGGAUAACACUGACGCUCAUGCACGAAAGCGUGGGGAGCAAACAGGAUUAGAUACCCUGGUAGUCCACGCCCUAAACGAUGUCAACUAGUUGUUGGGGAUUCAUUUCCUUAGUAACGUAGCUAACGCGUGAAGUUGACCGCCUGGGGAGUACGGUCGCAAGAUUAAAACUCAAAGGAAUUGACGGGGACCCGCACAAGCGGUGGAUGAUGUGGAUUAAUUCGA